rnacentral:rRNA from 1 species
UACGUAGGGUGCGAGCGUUAAUCGGAAUUACUGGGCGUAAAGCGUGCGCAGGCGGUGAUGUAAGACAGAUGUGAAAUCCCCGGGCUCAACCUGGGAACUGCAUUUGUGACUGCAUCGCUGGAGUGCGGCAGAGGGGGAUGGAAUUCCGCGUGUAGCAGUGAAAUGCGUAGAUAUGCGGAGGAACACCGAUGGCGAAGGGCAAUCCCCCUGGGCCUGCACUGACGCUCAUGCACGAAAGCGUGGGGAGCAACAGG